rnacentral:rRNA from 1 species
AGGACGAACGCUGGCGGCGUGCCUAACACAUGCAAGUGGAGCGACGAACCAGGCUUCGGCCUGGGGCAGAGCCGCGAACGGGUGAGUAACACGUGGGUAACCUGCCCUGAUGAUUGGGACAACCCGAGGAAACUCGGGCUAAUACCAAAUGUGCCCUCCGGCCUCAAGGCCUGUGGGGAAAGGAAGCUUCGGCCUCCGCAUCGGGAUGGGCCCGCGGCCCAUUAGCUUGUUGGUGAGGUAAUGGCUCACCAAGGCUACGAUGGGUAGCUGGUCUGAGAGGACGAUCAGCCACACUGGGACUGAGACACGGCCCAGACUCCUACGGGAGGCAGCAGUGGGGAAUAUUGGACAAUGGGCGCAAGCCUGAUCCAGCAAUGCCGCGUGGGUGAAGAAGGUCUUCGGAUUGUAAAGCCCUUUCGACGGGACGAUGAUGACGGUACCCGUAGAAGAAGCCCGGCUAACUUCGUGCCAGCAGCCGC